GACGAACCGUGCGAACGUUAUUCGGAAUCACUGGGCUUAAAGGGAGCGUAGGCGGGCUAUCAAGUCUGGGGUGAAAUCCCGCGGCUCAACCGUGGAACUGCCUCAGAUACUGACGGCCUCGAGGGAGAUAGGGGCAUGCGGAACUGUAGGUGGAGCGGUGAAAUGCGUUGAUAUCUACAGGAACUCCGGUGGCGAAAGCGGCGUGCUGGAUCUCUUCUGACGCUGAGGCUCGAAAGCUAGGGGAGCAAGCGGG
rnacentral:rRNA from 1 species